rnacentral:rRNA from 1 species
UACAGAAGGGGCAAGCGUUGUUCGGAAUUACUGGGCGUAAAGGGCGCGUAGGCGGCCUUCUAAGUCGAACGUGAAAUCCCCGGGCUCAACCCGGGAACUGCGUCCGAUACUGGAAGGCUUGAAUCCGGGAGAGGGAUGCGGAAUUCCAGGUGUAGCGGUGAAAUGCGUAGAUAUCUGGAGGAACACCGGUGGCGAAGGCGGCAUCCUGGACCGGCAUUGACGCUGAGGCGCGAAAGCCAGGGGAGCAAACGGG